UACGAAGGGGGCUAGCGUUGUUCGGAAUUACUGGGCGUAAAGCGUGCGCAGGCGGCUUCUCAAGUCAGGGGUGAAAGCCCAGAGCUCAACUCUGGAAUUGCCUUUGAGACUGAGUGGCUUGAGUGCGAGAGAGGUGAGUGGAAUUCCCAGUGUAGAGGUGAAAUUCGUAGAUAUUGGGAAGAACACCGGUGGCGAAGGCGGGUCUCUGGGCAGUAACUGACGCUGAGGAGCGAAAGCGUGGGGAGCGAACAGG
rnacentral:rRNA from 1 species